GUCCACGCCGUAAACGAUGGGUGCUAGGUGUGGGCGGUGUCGACUCCGUCCGUGCCGAAGCUAACGCAUUAAGCACCCCGCCUGGGGAGUACGGCCGCAAGGCUAAAACUCAAAGGAAUUGACGGGGGCCCGCACAAGCAGCGGAGCAUGUGGUUUAAUUCGACGCAACGCGAAGAACCUUACCAGGGUUUGACAUGCACCGGAAAGUCGUGGAAACACGGCCCCCCGCAAGGGUCGGUGCGCAGGUGGUGCAUGGCUGUCGU
rnacentral:rRNA from 1 species